UACGGGGGGAGCAAGCGUUGUUCGGAUUUACUGGGCGUAAAGGGCGCGUAGGCGGCGUAACAAGUCACUUGUGAAAUCUCCGGGCUUAACUCGGAGCGGCCAAGUGAUACUGUUGUGCUAGAGUGCGGAAGGGGCUACUGGAAUUCUCGGUGUAGCGGUGAAAUGCGUAGAUAUCUGGAGGAACACCGGUGGCGAAGGCGGCGUUCUGGACUGUAUCUGACACUGAGGAACGAAAGCCAGGGGAGCAAAGCGGG
rnacentral:rRNA from 1 species